rnacentral:rRNA from 1 species
AGAGUUUGAUCCUGGCUCAGGACGAACGCUGGCGGCGUGCUUAACACAUGCAAGUCGAGCGGAAAGGCCCUUCGGGGUACUCGAGCGGCGAACGGGUGAGUAACACGUGAGGAACCUGCCCUGGACUUUGGGAUAACCCUCGGAAACGGGGGCUAAUACCGAAUACGACACUUCACCGCAUGGUGUGGGUGUGGAAAGUUUUUCGGUCUGGGAUGGUCUCGCGGCCUAUCAGCUUGUUGGUGGGGUAAUGGCCUACCAAGGCGACGACGGGUAGCCGGCCUGAGAGAGCGACCGGCCACACUGGGACUGAGACACGGCCCAGACUCCUACGGGAGGCAGCAGUGGGGAAUAUUGCACAAUGGGCGGAAGCCUGAUGCAGCGACGCCGCGUGAGGGAUGACGGCCUUCGGGUUGUAAACCUCUUUCAGCAGGGACGAAGCGCAAGUGACGGUACCUGCAGAAGAAGCGCCGGCCAACUACGUGCCAGCAGCCGCGGUAAGACGUAGGGCGCGAGCGUUGUCCGGAUUUAUUGGGCGUAAAGAGCUCGUAGGCGGCUUGUCGCGUCGACUGUGAAAACCCGCGGCUCAACUGCGGGCCUGCAGCCGAUACGGGCAGGCUAGAGUUCGGUAGGGGAGACUGGAAUUCCUGGUGUAGCGGUGAAGUGCGCAGAUAUCAGGAGGAACACCGGUGGCGAAGGCGGGUCUCUGGGCCGAUACUGACGCUGAGGAGCGAAAGCGUGGGGAGCGAACAGGAUUAGAUACCCUAGUAGUCC